AUUGAACGCUGGCGGCAGGCCUAACACAUGCAAGUCGAUCGGUAGCACAGAGAGCUUGCUCUUGGGUGACGAGUGGCGGACGGGUGAGUAAUGUCUGGGAAACUGCCCGAUGGAGGGGGAUAACUACUGGAAACGGUAGCUAAUACCGCAUAACGUCUUCGGACCAAAGUGGGGGACCUUCGGGCCUCACACCAUCGGAUGUGCCCAGAUGGGAUUAGCUAGUAGGUGGGGUAAUGGCUCACCUAGGCGACGAUCCCUAGCUGGUCUGAGAGGAUGACCAGCCACACUGGAACUGAGACACGGUCCAGACUCCUACGGGAGGCAGCAGUGGGGAAUAUUGCACAAUGGGCGCAAGCCUGAUGCAGCCAUGCCGCGUGUAUGAAGAAGGCCUUCGGGUUGUAAAGUACUUUCAGCGGGGAGGAAGGCGUUAAGGUUAAUAACCUUGGCGAUUGACGUUACCCGCAGAAGAAGCACCGGCUAACUCCGUGCCAGCCGCCGCGGUAA
rnacentral:rRNA from 1 species